UACGAAGGGGGCUAGCGUUGCUCGGAAUGACUGGGCGUAAAGGGCGCGUAGGCGGAUGUGACAGUCAGACGUGAAAUUCCUGGGCUCAACCUGGGGACUGCGUUUGAGACGUUAUAUCUUGAGUGAGGAAGAGGGUUGUGGAAUUCCCAGUGUAGAGGUGAAAUUCGUAGAUAUUGGGAAGAACACCGGUGGCGAAGGCGGCAACCUGGUCCUUUACUGACGCUGAGGCGCGAAAGCGUGGGGAGCAAACAGG
rnacentral:rRNA from 1 species